AUUUACCUUUAUAUAAGUAAAGAAUUUCAAAUAUUGAUACAAGGGUUUAAAAGAUUAUUGAAUUUGACACAGAUUCCAAAAUAAAUUUUUAAAUAAGGACAUUAUAAAAGAUUCCUAAAAUGACAGGUGCCGUACUUCAAGCCGUUAUCUUACUCAAUUUGAUUAUCUUCUCGUGGACAAUAACAAACUGCGAAUAUUUUAGAUGGAGUGGUUGUUUUGAACCACAAGUUAGCAAAGACGAAAAGAUCAAUGAGUUUGUUACAAAGAUUGGGGAGUUAUUUAAAUUAAAAUUGCAAGGAAAAAACACAAAUGGAUAAAAAAGAGCGUUUAAAAGACUUAACAAUUAAAAGAACUAAUUACGAGUCUUACGAGAUUUACAGGUCUUACGAGAAUCACAAGAAUUUCAGAACCGAGUUAAAGUAUUAAUUUUGAUUAAUUUAU
rnacentral:lncRNA from 1 species